rnacentral:misc_RNA from 1 species
GAUGAAGAACGUAGCGAAAUGCGAUACUUGGCGUGAAUUGCAGAAUCCCGUGAACCAUCGAGUCUUUGAACGCAAGUUGCGCCCGAAGCCAUUAGGCCGAGGGCACGCCUGCCUGGGCGUCACACGUCGUUGCCCCCCCAUCUACUCCUUCGGGAUUGCGGGGGGCGGAUGAUGGCCUCCCGUGCGCCUCGUCGCGCGGUUGGCCUAAAUGCCAAGUCCUCGGCGACGCACGCCACGACAAUCGGUGGUUGCGAAACCUCGGUUGCCUGUCGUGUGCGGUCGUCGCGCAUCGAGGGCUCGAAAAAAUUGCCGGGCUUCGGCUCGACUUUCAACGCGACCCCAGGUCAGGCGGGGUUACCCGCUGAAUUUAAGCAUAUCAAUAAGCGGAGGA